UUUUGAUCAGAUUAUUGACACACAAUAAUCAUUAAAAGCAUAGCUUAACCUUAUCCGAUUUCCUAUCAUUGUUUACAGAUAAGGGUUAGACCCCCUACAAUGAUAAUACAUUGUCUAUGCAAUUAGGUUGUCCCAUUGAACCUAGAUUCUGGGAUCUCCAGUCAACAAGGUUGGGUUUUCCUUCACAUAGAACCUUUAAAUAUUUAUGGCCAUCAAUCCCAUUCUUCUUGAUGUCGUUUCAACUUGAUCUCGGUUUAAACCUUUUGGUUAGCAGAUCCGCAAUGUUAUCCUUUGAUUUUACAUAAUCAACAGAUAUAACCCCCG
rnacentral:lncRNA from 1 species